rnacentral:rRNA from 1 species
GUAGGUGGCAAGCGUUGUCCGGAAUUAUUGGGCGUAAAGCGCGCGCAGGGCGGUCCUUUAAGUCUGAUGCGAAAGCCCACGGCUCAACCGUGGAGGGUCAUUGGAAACUGGGGGACUUGAGUACAGAAGAGGAAAGCGGAAUUCCAAGUGUAGCGGUGAAAUGCGUAGAGAUUUGGAGGAACACCAGUGGCGAAGGCGGCUUUCUGGUCUGUAACUGACGCUGAGGCGCGAAAGCGUGGGGAGCAAACAGGAUUAGAUACCCUGGUAGUCCACGCCGUAAACGAUGAGUGCUAAGUGUUAGGGGGUUUCCGCCCCUUAGUGCUGCAGCUAACGCAUUAAGCACUCCGCCUGGGGAGUACGGCCGCAAGGCUG